AUGCAGUCGAACGCAACCCUUUGGGGUUGAGUGGCGAACGGGUGAGUAACACGUGGGUAAUCUGCCUUGCACUUUGGGAUAAGCCUGGGAAACUGGGUCUAAUACCGGAUACGACCAUGUCACGCAUGUGGUGUGGUGGAAAGCUUUUGUGGUGUGAGAUGAGCCCGCGGCCUAUCAGCUUGUUGGUGGGGUGAUGGCCUACCAAGGCGACGACGGGUAGCCGGCCUGAGAGGGUGUCCGGCCACACUGGGACUGAGACACGGCCCAGACUCCUACGGGAGGCAGCAGUGGGGAAUAUUGCACAAUGGGCGGAAGCCUGAUGCAGCGACGCCGCGUGAGGGAUGACGGCCUUCGGGUUGUAAACCUCUUUCACCAAGGACGAAGCGGGAGUGACGGUACUUGGGGAAGAAGCACCGGCUAACUACGUGCCAGCAGCCGCGGUAAUACGUAGGGUGCGAGCGUUGUCCGGAAUUAUUGGGCGUAAAGAGCUCGUAGGCGGCUCGUUGCGUCUACCGUGAAAACUGGAGGCUUAACCUUCAGCUUGCGGUGGAUACGGGCGGGCUUGAGUUCGGUAGGGGAGACUGGAAUUCCUGGUGUAGCGGUGAAAUGCGCAGAUAUCAGGAGGAACACCGGUGGCGAAGGCGGGUCUCUGGGCCGAUACUGACGCUGAGGAGCGAAAGCGUGGGGAGCGAACAGGAUUAGAUACCCUGGUAGUCCACGCUGUAAACGUUGGGCGCUAGGUGUGGGUGACAUCCACGUUGUCCGUGCCGUAGCUAACGCAUUAAGCGCCCCGCCUGGGGAGUACGGCCGCAAGGCUAAAACUCAAAGGAAUUGACGGGGGCCCGC
rnacentral:rRNA from 1 species